AACGAACGCUGGCGGCAUGCCUAACACAUGCAAGUCGAACGAGACCUUCGGGUCUAGUGGCGCACGGGUGCGUAACGCGUGGGAACCUGCCCUUAGGUUCGGAAUAACUCCACGAAAGGGGUGCUAAUACCGGAUAAUGUCUUCGGACCAAAGAUUUAUUGCCUUUGGAUGGGCCCGAGUUGGAUUAGCUAGUUGGUAGGGUAAAAGCCUACCAAGGCGACGAUCCAUAGCUGGUCUGAGAGGAUGAUCAGCCACACUGGGACUGAGACACGGCCCAGACUCCUACGGGAGGCAGCAGUGGGGAAUAUAGGACAAUGGGCGAAAGCCUGAUCCAGCAAGGCCGCGUGAGUGAUGAAGGCCUUAGGGUUGUAAAGCUCUUUUACCCGGGAUGAUAAUGACAGUACCGGGAGAAUAAGCUCCGGCUAACUCCGUG
rnacentral:rRNA from 1 species